rnacentral:rRNA from 1 species
ACUCCUACGGGAGGCAGCAGUGGGGAAUAUUGCACAAUGGGCGCAAGCCUGAUGCAGCCAUGCCGCGUGUGUGAAGAAGGCCUUCGGGNNGUAAAGCACUUUCAGUCGUGAGGAAGGUGGUGUANUUAAUAGCUGCAUUAUUUGACGUUAGCGNNAGAAGAAGCACCGGCUAACUCCGUGCCAGCAGCCGCGGUAAU